ensembl:ncRNA asRNA:CR46089 antisense RNA:CR46089
ACCCACCUGGCUGAACUGCAUCAGAUUCCCGGACUGCGGGGAAUAAUAUUAAAUAGUUAGUAAGCUAUAGCUUUGCACAUUAAAAGCACAACUCACGUUUAAUCCCUGCAAGAAGGCCAUGGGUUCCGUGGUCCUGGAAUAAUAAAAACAAUAAUAGUUAGCAACCAGGCAAACCACAUGUGACCACGUGACCAGGUACUCACAAUUCCGAUCCCGAUACCUCCACCGUUUUCGGAAUAUCCUCCUUGAUAUCGACCUCCGUGGAGUCAUCCUCGGAAUCAGUGCUAAAGUGUAAAAGGGAAAUAAAAACUUAGUGGCAAACUGCGCCUUGGCUGGAUAAACAAACACAAACAAGUUGGCCGCGCGAAUGAUGCAAGUACAAGCGUGUUGCUACAUGCAAGGUUUCUACUGUUCGAUCAUCAAUUUGUUGCCGCACUGUACCUUUCUUUGUGCCACGACAUUGGCUGUGAUAUAUACAUCUUAGUCGGCUAUAUCUGAUCAAGCGAUCUUGUUGGGGAAGGAGGCUAAAUAUUAAAAAUUCGCUAACAAAAAACUACAGAAUCGUAGUGGCCACCGACUAUUUGGAUUUUGCCAUUCGCCACGCAGCGCGAACAAUCGCCGUAGCCAAUGUUUAUCGAUUGGAGCGCGUGUUUUGAAUUUGCUCACCCCUUGUGGCAGACGAAUUUGUUGCAUGCAUUAAUUUUGUUAUUGCCAUCGGAAUUAUUGUUGGCCAAAAUUUCCAGAUUGUUCGUGAACUGCAUCAUGUUGUUCGUGUUGUUGCCUCCGUAGGCUGGAUCCACAGGCGUAGCCAGGUGGGCAUAUUCGUUGGAUUCGUUGCCAAAACUCUGCGGCAAGUUGAAAGCUCCGUUGCUGGAGACCCGAACUGCUGACUCUGCAGAAACUUCGUUGCCGAUAUCCCAAAAAUCCAGGAACUCCUUGAAAGCUUCAAAAAUUGUGCGACUAUUGCUACGCGAAACAAUCGAAGUGUUUCUGCAAAAAGGCGCAACAUUAUUUUGUUGGGUAAGACCGAAUAAAAUAUCUCCGCUCACUGGUUAAAAGUCAAGCUAAACGACGCGGACUUGUGAAGACUCAUGGCUGUGCACUCAAAUAAAUAAAUUUUAUUUAGCAGUUGCGAUUUGUGUCCGCAAGAAUCUUCCGUGCUCCAGGGAUGUCAACUAACCGGAAAUUGGCUAACUUAAUGUCAUAUAUCCAUGGCUAUCGAUAAGCUAUCGAUAAGGAUUUGGCCGAGUGCGAACAGUGCUGCCCAUUGUGCGGCAAGUUAGAAUUUCUGUUUUGAAAUUUUUUCAAUACUUCAAUCUAUUUAUUAGUUUGCAAAUAACGCGCCGUAUGCAGCAAAUUGGUUUCACUGCACAGCCCUUUGAAUGGUCGAGCAAUGUACCGUAUGAUUUCUGGCUCCUACAAAAAAUUAAGUUUUAUUUAAUGGUGAAAUUCCAAAUUUUAGUCAAACUAAAUUUCAAUUAAAACGCACGAAUUAUACAAAGCUUAGGCAGCUACGGCAUACGGAUAUAUUUACAAUUCUAAAAAUGUACAUAAAGCGCUACUGGCACAAAAGUCUUUCUCUACAGCAGACAUAUGAUAAUGCAGCUCUAAUAUUUCUCAGUCGUCACUUCGCUCGGCGGCGGCGACUCAUUUGUUCGAUUUUGAACAUCGGUCACGGUGGUGAGGUCAGAGCUCGAGGAUUCCCUCGAAUGCCUGGGGAGAAAUGGAAAACAGCACAGCAAUAAUGAUAAGUGUACAGUGGAGAUGACAUAAUCGUAGAUUAAGUAUCAUAUUCACACAAUGUUUCAAUCACCUGUAAAACACAUAGUGCUGCAGCAUGAAGAACACAUCGAAGAGCACGGAAAACAGACCCAGUCCGAAUUUGGUGGGAUCACCGAAAAUCGACACCCAAUCAUCUGGAAACCAGACACGAUUUCAUUCGAAAAUCACAAAUUGAUAGACUAUAUCCUACCGUAAUUAUGAGCAUUCAGAAUCAUUUGCAGCAUGCUCAGCGUUCCUCCCGUGAAAUCCAGCAGAAUGUUGCCGAUGCUCCAGCCGGAGGUGCUCUUCCGGCGAUAGUUCAUCAGAGCUUGCGGCACGUACUUGAUGAUGGUAAUGGUUAGCUUGACGUAACUGCAGUAGUACAGAAAGUCCAGCCAAUGGAUGACGGAUCCUCCGGCCAAACCGGCAGACACGACGACCACCACGGCGAAGAUGGCCAAUAUUCCGUAGGCAAUGAACGACACCCUUUGCUGUGCUCUCUGGACAAAUUUAACAAAGUAUGGAUGUUUUACAAGUCAAAACCUUAUCUACUCUUCAUAUCGUAACUAUCCGCUGUGAUUCAAAUGAUUUGGCAUUUUGAUUGAUGGCAAUUAGUGUUCAAUGCGACAACUGUUGCCACUUCGGCGAUAAGGCUAUUGAAUGGUAUUUGCUAUAUAUAUUAUUACCUGAUAGAAAAAGCACUGAAGGAUCGUAAUGCAGGUGGCGAACAUGGCAUGCAGUGAGAAGACCACGUCGUUGAGCAUCACAGGAUUCACUCCCAGCGGAUAUCGCACCUCGUACUCGUUCUGCAGAUCCUCGAUGAAAUAGAGGCCGCAGUUGAACAUGCUGUACAGGGUGAAGCCCACGAUAUUGAGGGCCAGGAAAUCAAAGUUCAGUCCCUCGACGGACUUGCGGCGAUAGUUGCUCCAGAUCUGCGGAUAGAAGGACACCGACCAGGCCACAAAGUAAACCCAGCCAAAGAUGAUGGAGGUGUAGAUCAAAGCUCUCGAUUUGGCCACAGUCACGCGUACGAACACAUCCUUCACACUGGAAAAUAAGUGAAUUUUCCAAUUAGGUACGGGAACAGUUGGGAUUCCCGUGAAGUUACUCACAUCUCUUUGUUCGCAUCAUCGCUAUCUGCGACCACUUUGACGUUGCCGGCUUUGAGGCCAGUUAUCACCACCGACUGAUUUCGAGUACUGCCCGCUGGAUACACAAACGUUGCGGGAUCGAGGAGCAAAUGAUCCUCCGAAUCUGUUCCCAGCGCAACUUCCACGUCGCUGUCUAGCAAUCCGCUGUAAUGGGCACAAUAGAUUUACGAUGCCAUAUGUUUUGGAUUUGGAUUUCCCGGCAAUGGCAACUCACUUGGCGAACACCAGAAAAGUCUCGUUGCUGUUCAGCAGAACGGUGAUGUCAUGGGAAUCGACGGUGAGCUGACUGCUUUGGGCAUUUCCCAGGGCAACUGUGGGCAGGAGAAAUUCCCUCAUUAUUAGAUCGCAAUAUCUGGAUUGCGAUAUCUCACCUGUGGCCAGGAGGAGGAGCAGCAAAGUGGUCAGGCGGUGUGUGCUGAAAUCCAUUCUGCUUGCGUUCAACGUUCAACUUAUUCAUGCAUGAGCAUCCAGUCCUGCUGGCAUCUUCUUCAAUGAAGCCCUAUAUGGUAUUGUAUUGAUUCAAUUGUGAAUUACUUCAAUUGACCAAUUGACCACGAUCGGGUGAAAUUGAUAUCUACUCGUAGGAGUAUGGAAUGCAAUUCCUGACACCUUUUUUUUUUUUGCUUCUUAAUUUAAUGACCCGUGCAGACACUCAAUCAAUAAGGAAUAUAAUAUGAUAUAAAAUGAUAUAAACAUAAAACUAUUUGUUCCAAAAAAAAAACUUGCAGUGCAAACUACGCACGCUCGCUUCAUCUGGAAUUCGUGUGUGUUUUUGUCGAGAUAAAAGUCGGUAACCUUCAUCAAAUGUCGCUCAAUGUUACAACUUUGCAAUUGGAGCACACUUUCCCACGGCAAGCGUUGGAGCACCCAUUUUAUGUGCCUAUAUGGCCCAAAUGGACGUAACAGGAAAUACAUGGGCUUUGUCGGUCGAUCGUAAAACCAAAAGAUUCCCGAUUGUUCAUACUAUAUUUUUUAUAUGGCGAGGGCCGUGACUUGGCGAUUGCCAAGAAGUGUAAAACACCGCGUGAGAACGGGCUUAUCUCAAUCAAUGGAGCUAGCUGAUAGUGUCCGUCGAAUUAUUGCGGCAGUCUGCCACAAGUUGCAGAUAAUCAAUAGAUUGGGCAAUGCACUGCGAUUGCAAUACUAAUCGCAAGUCACGAUCCAAAUUUUGGUUCUACAUAAAUCAAAACUAAUGAGAGUGGUAAACUACAAGGGUAAUUUAAAGUUCGAACACCAUAUCUUUCACGAUCGUUCACACGAAUCUUCAUGUUUCAACUGAUAUGCACCAUAAGUUAUUCACUAAUUCUGUUUCAAUUCUGGUGAUAGAUAAGACGAUUGAUUGGUAAAAAGGUCCAUUGUUAGUUAACAGUAACACCCAUUUAUUCAUUCAUGAUUCCACGCACGAGAUACGCUUGUUGUGCGUCUGUUUGAGCCGGAUUAGAACUUUCACUGGCAUGUGGGCAAGCAGAGGCUUUUAGCCGCCAACUGCUAACGCAAAACAUCUGUAUAAGCCGCCGGAUUAUUGUGAUUAAGAUAAUGCGGAUUAGAACAGUUGUUUGCCUAUGCUAUAUGCAUGAUCGCCACCCAACACAUCAAUUCACUCACGUUAAGAAUGAAGUUAAAUAAUGUGUCCCAACUGACGAUUGAGCGACUGCCGAUGGCUACAAGUGGAAUGGAAUGCUAUGAUGAUGGCUGCGAUGGCGACUCUCCAGUGCGACUGAGUGCGCGAUCCAAUGGAUCCGUUUAAAUAUUGGAGCGAUGGAGUCGACGUCGACUGCGGCAGCGGCAGCGACGCACCAGCGGCAGCAGCAACAACAAGUGGGGCGAGAGCGGACCGCCGACGUAUCUUGGCUUUUUAUUAUACAUUAUUUUUGCACUUGAGAACCCGGCGGCCGAAAAGGUGGGCACUUCAGUCGGGAACAGUUAAAUAUUUUGACAAGACGAGUAGUUCUCAAAACAAAAAAAAAAAAAACACUUUUUUUUCAAAUUCAAAUUUCAAAAAAAAUAUGCUAAAAUGUAUCUGUGGGAUAAGCAAUGAAUGGAAAUGUAUCUACGGGAUAAGCUAUGAAUUGAAAUGUAUCUGUAGGAUAAGCUAUGAAUUGAAAAGUAUCUGUGGGACAAACGAACUUGUAUCUCACAGUACAAAGUAAUCAUACC